GACGAACGCUGGCGGCGUGCUUAACACAUGCAAGUGGUGCGACGAACCAGGCUUCGGCCUGGGGCAGAGCCGCGAACGGGUGAGUAACACGUGGGUUACGUGCCCCGAUGACCGGGACAACCCGAGGAAACUCGGGCUAAUACCGGAUGUGCCCCCUCACAAAUGUGAGGUGUGUAAAGGAAGCUUCGGCCUCCGCAUCGGGAUCGGCCCGCGGCGCAUUAGCUUGUUGGUGAGGUAACGGCUCACCAAGGCAACGAUGCGUAGCUGGUCUGAGAGGACGAUCAGCCACACUGGGACUGAGACACGGCCCAGACUCCUACGGGAGGCAGCAGUGGGGAAUCUUGCACAAUGCGCGAAAGCGUGAUGCAGCAACGCCGCGUGCGGGAAGACGGCCUUCGGGUUGUAAACCGCUUUCAGUUGGGACGAAGUGUGGGCCGUUAAUAGCGGUUCCACAUGACGGUACCUUCACAAGAAGCCCCGGCUAACUACGUGCCAGCAGCCGCAGUAAUAC
rnacentral:rRNA from 1 species